GACUCCAGGGGUAAUUGGGAGGAAGUUCCGGAGAGCCGCUGCGCGCAAACGCGACACGCCAACCUUGCGCCAGCGCGCCGCAAGUGCGCAGGCGCCGCCGCUCUGCUGCUCUUCCUCGUCCCUCUGCCUACAGCAGGCUGUCGGGUCCUAUGUCGCGCCGGGCCCUCCGGAGGCUGAGGGGGGAACAGCGCGGCCAGGAACCCCUAGGGCCCGACGCCUUGCAGUUUGUCCUCCUUGAUGACGAUGACGCGGAGGAAGAGGGACCAAAACAAGGGUUGGGUGGCCGGCGCCCCGGGGGCGCAGGGAAGGAAGGCGUCCGUGUCAACAACCGGUUCGAGCUGAUAAACAUCGAGGAUCUUGAGGAUGACCUUGUGGUAAAUGGGGAGAAGUCUGACUGUACCCUGCUGGACUCUGUGUCAUCAGGGAACAAAGGAAGGGCUCAGCGUGGAAACCCAGAGACAAAGCAAGAUGGGGAUGUGGCCAAGGCAGGGUUCCCAGAACAGUCUAAUGCAAGUGGCAAACUCCGAAAGAAGAAAAAGAAGCAGAAAAAUAAGAAAAGCUGCACAGGAGAAUCCUCGGAAAAUGGGCUAGAAGAUAUUGAUCGCAUCUUAGAGAGGAUUGAAGACAGCAGUGGGGUCAGCCACCCAGGCCCCCCUCCACUGAAUUCCAGGAAGCACGUCCUCUAUGUGGAGCACAGACACUUGAAUCCAGAUACAGAACUGAAAAGGUAUUUUGGUGCUCGAGCGGUCCUGGGAGAACAAAGGCCUCGACAAAGACAGCGUGUAUAUCCCAAGUGUACAUGGCUGACAACCCCUAAAAGCACUUGGCCCCGAUACAGCAAACCAGGUCUGUCAAUGCGGCUGCUGGAAUCCAAGAAAGGCCUUUCUUUCUUUGCAUUUGAGCACAAUGAGGAGUAUCAGCAAGCACAGCACAAGUUCCUGGUGGCUGUGGAGUCCAUGGAGCCAAACAACAUUGUGGUUCUGCUCCAGACAAGUCCCUAUCAUGUUGACUCACUUCUGCAGCUCAGUGACGCCUGCCGCUUUCAGGAGGAUCAAGAGAUGGCUCGAGACCUUAUAGAGAGAGCACUGUACAGCAUGGAGUGUGCUUUCCAUCCCUUGUUCAGUCUCACCAGUGGGACUUGCAGGCUGGAUUACCGCAGACCUGAGAACAGGAGCUUCUACCUGGCCCUCUACAAGCAGAUGAGUUUCUUGGAGAAGCGAGGAUGCCCACGUACUGCACUUGAGUACUGCAAGCUCAUCCUGAGCCUUGAGCCAGAUGAGGACCCCCUGUGCAUGCUGCUGCUUAUUGACCACCUGGCCUUACGGGCCCGGAACUAUGAGUACCUGAUCCGCCUCUUCCAGGAGUGGGAGGCUCAUCGGAACCUAUCCCAGCUCCCAAAUUUUGCCUUCUCAGUUCCAUUGGCAUAUUUCCUUCUGAGUCAGCAAACAGACUUACCUGAGCAUGAGCUCGCCUCUGCCAGGCAACAGGCUUCCCUCCUGAUACAGCAGGCGCUCACUAUGUUCCCUGGAGCUCUUAUGCCAUUGCUGGAGUAUUGCAGUGUGCGGCCUGAUGCAACAGUCUCAGAUCACCGCUUCUUUGGGCCAGAUGCUGAGAUAAGCCAGCCCCCUGCCCUGAGCCAGCUGGUGAGUCUGUACCUUGGGAGGUCACACUUUCUUUGGAAAGAACCCGCCAUUAUGAGCUGGCUGGAGGAAAACGUCCGUGAGGUUCUGCAAGCAGUGGAUGCUGGGGACCCUGCUGUGGAGGCCUGUGAGAAUAGGCGGAAGGUGCUGUACCAGCGUGCACCCAGAAACAUCCACCGCCAUGUGAUACUCUCUGAGAUCAAGGAGGCUGUUGCUGCCCUACCCUCGGAUGUGACCACACAGUCUGUGAUGGGGUUUGAUCCUCUGCCUCCCCUGGACACCAUCUACUCUUACGUCCGACCAGAAAGGCUGAGUCCAGUCAGUCAUGGAAACACAAUCGCCCUCUUCUUCCGAUCAUUAUUGCCAAAUUACACCACAGAGGGGGAGAGGCUGGAGGAAGGAGUGGCCGGGGGUCCGAACCGCAAUCAAGGCUUGAACAGGCUGAUGUUGGCCGUACGUGACAUGAUGGCCAACUUCCACUUCAACGACCUGGAGGUGCCUCGGGAGGACAAUCCUGAGGGCGAGGGGGACUGGGACUGACUGUCCAGAUGCUGUGCCCAGAGCUGUGCAAUUAUGUUCCUGAUUCUUUCCUGGUUGGAAUUAACCAGUUCCCUGAAGUAGAAAUGCUGACCAUGUCAUCCACCCGUGUCUUUUGUUUUCCCUAUAAAUGUGAGUGGGGUAUGCUCUGCUGUGAGUGAGCUUUUCCUCCAGUGCCCUCAAAAAUAGUCCAGGAGCAGUGAGCCCCACACCAUAUACACCCUGCCAUGUGCCUUACACUUUCAGAAUUUCUAACAUAAUGCAGAGAAAGGGGUUUUCCUGGAGUCUUCAGUGCGAGGACCCCACAUGCUCCUUGCUAGGGGGCACUGAACCUUCCACAAUGCUGCACCCAGCGUCUUUGCAGUGGUGAGGAUCAAACCCAGGGCCUGGCAUGUGACCUACCAUUGCGUGAUAGUCCCAGCCUAGGAAUUUCAUUAGUAAACUUGGAGGGCUGGAGGUGUGUCUCAGAUGGUAGACUGCUUGUUAGCAUGCACAAAGCCCAGGAUUUGAUCCCCAGCACAACACAAACCAGGUGUGGUAGUGUUCAUCUGUAAUCUCAGUACUCAAGAGGUAGAGAGAGGGACAAGGGGAUUAGAAGUUAAAGAUCACCCUCUGCUAUAUAGUGAGCUCAAAGCCAGCCUUAGUUACGUGAGACCCCAGCUCAAAAGAGGGGGUUGGGGCAUGCGGUGCCCAGAACUGAAAGAAAAGCCAAGAAGCAACUUUAAGGCAGAAAAUUCAAGGAUUCUUUGCAGAGGUUAAAGGGUGUUUGAUCUAGGGAUGAGUGGGGAGCCCUGACCAAGAACCCCAGUCCAGUGGCGGGAACAGAGGCACAGCCAGGCAAGGCCGGUCUGUGUCUCAUAAGCUGUCUGAUUGUGGAAAGGUCCAGGCUACUGAGAUGUUAUAAGCUGUGUCAGGUAUCUCUCGGGCAGCCCUGCCCAUCUGUGUCUGUACAGAGACUGGGGGAGGUACUGCCAUGGGCUCUAGUCUGAGAGAUGGCUGGUGAAGCCCCCCUAAGUCUUGGUCCAUUGAUUGCUUCCUGGGAGUUCAGACGGCAUUGGAUCCAUGGUAUGGACGAGGUACAAGUAAAGCAUGCUUCAGGAAUGUCCUGAGGGCCAUAAAUGGCUCAGUGAGUAAAGGUACUCGCUUCCAAGCCUGAUAACCCGAGUUCAAUCCCCAGGACCCAUAUGGUGGAUGGAGAGAGCUAACUCCUGCAGGUUGUCCUCUUACCUCCACACAUACAUUGUAGCAUGUGCACACCUAUACAAACACCAAAAAAAUGGAAAAGGGGCAGCUUGGUGGUUAAAAGUACUUACUGUGCUUGGUGCUUUUGCAGAGGACCAGGGUUUGAUUUUAAGCACCCAUGGCGGGUAGCUCACAAUCACCUUAAUUCCGGCCCCAGCAUACAAACAUAUACAUGAUGUGGCUGAGCAGUGGCCCAGGUCACUGUCCCCUCAACAGGACAUUAAGGGCUGAUUUGUACCCAUCUAUAGUCAGCCUAAAUGUCACAGCCCAUUUCUAAGUUAGCCAUCUGUAGGGGGGCUCUGUGUUCAAUAUAUGUGCCUGGUGAAAGAUCACGUGUCACAUGAAUUGGUGCUGAGUGUCUUUUUUUUCUCCAGCAUGAAUUGGCAAGGCCAUGAAGUCUGGAUACAGGUUCUACUACUUGUGCUCAUGGGUUCCAGGUUGGAGUGGCCUGUGCAGCUGUAAGUCCAUCCAGAUGAGGAUGUGAUAUCUGGAGCUGCAGCAGCUAUUCUACAACCACGAGGCAAUGAACUCCAAAAUGAAGAGCCAGUGUACUAGGAACAGUGAAGCAGAGGAUGCCCUAGGCCUUCGGGGAACUUCCCACCUCCAGGCCUGUAUCCUGAGAGGCCAUUAAAUGAUUGGCUUCAGAAGUGUUGCUCAGACUUAAGUAAUUUUCAACUGAAUACAUUUCUAAUGGUGAUAAAUAAAAACCAGUCACUCACGUCA